rnacentral:rRNA from 1 species
CUCAACGGAUAAAAGGUACUCCGGGGAUAACAGGCUGAUACCGCCCAAGAGUUCAUAUCGACGGCGGUGUUUGGCACCUCGAUGUCGGCUCAUCACAUCCUGGGGCUGAAGUAGGUCCCAAGGGUAUGGCUGUUCGCCAUUUAAAGUGGUACGCGAGCUGGGUUUAGAACGUCGUGAGACAGUUCGGUCCCUAUCUGCCGUGGGCGCUGGAGAAUUGAGGGGGGCUGCUCCUAGUACGAGAGGACCGGAGUGGACGCAUCACUGGUGUUCGGGUUGUCAUGCCAAUGGCACUGCCCGGUAGCUAAAUGCGGAAGAGAUAAGUGCUGAAAGCAUCUAAGCACGAAACUUGCCCCGAGAUGAGUUCUCCCUGAGACUUUAAGUCUCCUGAAGGAACGUUAAAGACGAUGACGUUGAUAGGCCGGGUGUGUAAGCGCAGCGAUGCGUUGAGCUAACCGGUACUAAUGAACCGUGAGGCUUAACCUUACAACGCCGAAG